UACGUAGGGUGCGAGCGUUAAUCGGAAUUACUGGGCGUAAAGCGUGCGUAGGCGGUUCGUUAAGUUCGUUGUGAAAGCCCCGGGCUCAACCUGGGAACUGCAAUGGAAACUGGCGGGCUUGAGUGUGGCAGAGGGGGGUGGAAUUCCGCGUGUAGCAGCGAAAUGCGUAGAGAUGCGGAGGAACACCGAUGGCGAAGGCAGCCCCCUGGGCCAACACUGACGCUCAGGCACGAAAGCGUGGGGAGCAAACAGG
rnacentral:rRNA from 1 species